UACGUAGGGGGCGAGCGUUGUCCGGAAUUACUGGGCGUAAAGAGCGUGUAGGCGGCCUGAAAGGUCAGCUGUGAAAACUCGAGGCUCAACCUCGAGACGUCGGUUGAAACCAUCUGGCUAGAGUCCGGAAGAGGAGUGUGGAAUUCCCGGUGUAACGGUGAAAUGCGCAGAUAUCGGGAAGAACACCCGUGGCGAAGGCGGCACUCUGGGACGGUACUGACGCUGAGACGCGAAAGCGUGGGGAGCGAACAGG
rnacentral:rRNA from 1 species